rnacentral:tRNA from 1 species
GUACUCGUAGCUUAGUUGGUAAAGCAUCGGACCUUUAAUCCGAGGAGCGCGGGAUCGUAGCCCGCCGGGUACACCA